UACGUAGGGUGUAAGCGUUGUCCGGAAUUACUGGGCGUAAAGAGUUCGUAGGCGGUUUGUCGCGUCGUUCGUGAAAACUUGGGGCUUAACUCCAAGCGUGCGGGCGAUACGGGCAGACUUGAGUACUACAGGGGAGACUGGAAUUCCUGGUGUAGCGGUGAAAUGCGCAGAUAUCAGGAGGAACACCGGUGGCGAAGGCGGGUCUCUGGGUAGUAACUGACGCUGAGGAACGAAAGCGUGGGUAGCGAACAGG
rnacentral:rRNA from 1 species